rnacentral:rRNA from 1 species
GACGAACGCUGGCGGCGUGCUUAACACAUGCAAGUCGAACGGAAAGGCCCUGCUUUUGUGGGGUGCUCGAGUGGCGAACGGGUGAGUAACACGUGAGUAACCUGCCCUUGACUUUGGGAUAACUUCAGGAAACUGGGGCUAAUACCGGAUAGGAGCUCCUGCUGCAUGGUGGGGGUUGGAAAGUUUCGGCGGUUGGGGAUGGACUCGCGGCUUAUCAGCUUGUUGGUGGGGUAGUGGCUGACCAAGGCUUUGACGGGUAGCCGGCCUGAGAGGGUGACCGGCCACAUGGGGACUGAGAGACGGCCCAGACUCCUACGGGAGGCAGCAGUGGGGAAUAUUGCACAAUGGGCGGAAGCCUGAUGCAGCAACGCCGCGUGCGGGAUGACGGCCUUCGGGUUGUAAACCGCUUUCGCCUGUGACGAAGCGUGAGUGACGGUAAUGGGUAAAGAAGCACCGGCUAACUACGUG